rnacentral:rRNA from 1 species
AACGAACGCUGGCGGCGUGCCUAACACAUGCAAGUCGUGCGAGAAAGUUCCUUCGGGAGCGAGUAAAGCGGCGCACGGGUGAGUAACACGUAGGUAACCUGCCCCCCAGUCUGGAACAACUAGAGGAAACUCUAGCUAAUGCCGGAUGAGACCACGAUCCCUUCGGGGGUUGCGGCCAAAGAUGGCCUCUACUUGUAAGCUAUCGCUGAGGGAUGGGCCUGCGGGCCAUUAGCUUGUUGGUGAGGUAACGGCUCACCAAGGCUGUGAUGGCUAGCUGGUCUGAGAGGAUGACCAGCCACACUGGGACUGAGACACGGCCCAGACUCCUACGGGAGACAGCAGUGGGGAAUAUUGCGCAAUGGGCGAAAGCCUGACGCAGCGACGCCGCGUGGGUGAUGAAGGCCUGGUCGUAAG